AAUGUCAAGAAAGGAAAUCUUC
rnacentral:miRNA from 1 species